rnacentral:rRNA from 1 species
GACGAACGCUGGCGGCGUGCUUAACACAUGCAAGUCGAACGGUGAAGCGCCUUCCUUUUUGGUGGGUGUGGAUGAGUGGCGAACGGGUGAGUAACACGUGAGUAACCUGCCCCCUUCUUCUGGAUAACCGCAUGAAAGUGUGGCUAAUACGGGAUAUUCUGGGUCUGUCGCAUGAUGGGUCUGGGAAAGAUAUUGUUUCGGUGGGGGAGGGGCUGGCGGCCUAUCAGCUUGUUGGUGGGGUGAUGGCCUACCAAGGCGGUGACGGGUAGCCGGCCUGAGAGGGUGGACGGUCACACUGGGACUGAGACACGGCCCAGACUCCUACGGGAGGCAGCAGUGGGGAAUAUUGCACAAUGGGCGCAAGCCUGAUGCAGCGACGCCGCGUGAGGGAUGGAGGCCUUCGGGUUGUGAACCUCUUUCGCCAGUGAAGCAGGCCUGCCUCGUUUGUGGGUGGGUUGACGGUAGCUGGAGAAGAAGCGCCGGCUAACUACGUG